GGGUCAGUAGGCUGGUCGUGCCACCGGUACGUACUGGUCUCACUGAUUCCUCCUUCCUGAAGAACCGUAAUGCCAUUAAUUUGGUGUUGCGGGGAAACAGGACUGUUACUUUGAAAAAAUUAGAGUGUUUAAAGCAAGCUAACGCUUGAAUACAUUAGCAUGGAAUAAUGAAAUAGGACGUUGAUCCUAUUCUGUUGGUUUCUAGGAUUGACGUA
rnacentral:rRNA from 1 species